GAUGAACGCUGGCGGCGUGCCUAAUACAUGCAAGUCGAGCGAACAGACGAGGAGCUUGCUCCUCUGACGUUAGCGGCGGACGGGUGAGUAACACGUGGAUAACCUACCUAUAAGACUGGGAUAACUUCGGGAAACCGGAGCUAAUACCGGAUAAUAUAUUGAACCGCAUGGUUCAAUAGUGAAAGACGGUUUUGCUGUCACUUAUAGAUGGAUCCGCGCCGCAUUAGCUAGUUGGUAAGGUAACGGCUUACCAAGGCAACGAUGCGUAGCCGACCUGAGAGGGUGAUCGGCCACACUGGAACUGAGACACGGUCCAGACUCCUACGAGAGGGAGCAGUAGGGAAUCUUCCGCAAAGGGCGAAAGCCUGACGGAGCAACGCCGCGUGAGUGAUGAAGGUCUUCGGAUCGUAAAACUCUGUUAUUAGGGAAGAACAAAUGUGUAAGUAACUAUGCACGUCUUGACGGUACCUAAUCAGAAAGCCACGGCUAACUACGUG
rnacentral:rRNA from 1 species